GUGGGGAAUAUUGGACAAUGGGCGCAAGCCUGAUCCAGCCAUGCCGCGUGUGUGAAGAAGGCCUUCGGGUUGUAAAGCACUUUUGUUGGGAAAGAAAUCCUGUCGGCUAAUACCCGGCGGGGAUGACGGUACCCAAAGAAUAAGCACCGGCUAACUUCGUGCCAGCAGCCGCGGUAAUACGAAGGGUGCAAGCGUUACUCGGAAUUACUGGGCGUAAAGCGUGCGUAGGUGGUUCGUUAAGUCAGAUGUGAAAGCCCCGGGCUCAACCUGGGAAUUGCAUUUGAUACUGGCGGACUAGAGUGCGGUGGAGGAGAGUGGAAUUCCCGGUGUAGCAGUGAAAUGCGUAGAGAUCGGGAGGAACAUCAGUUGCGAAGGCGGCUCUCUGGACCAGCACUGACACUGAGGCACGAAAGCGUGGGGAGCAAACAGGAUUAGAUACCCGAGUAGUCC
rnacentral:rRNA from 1 species